AGGAGGCCGCAGCGAGGAGGUAGAGGGGGCGGGGGUCGCACUAGGGUGUCCCUAGAGAACGAGGACUCUGAAGGCGGGACAUUUGGGCGACCCCCGGGCGGGGCCAGCCAUUAAACAGUCCCACUUCUGUGCCAGACACUGAACUGGGCUCUUGACGGGCAUCAUCUCUUAAUCCUCAGAACAUCCCAGGGAGUGCUGGCACGCUCUGAGGAUGAUGGCAUCGGCAUCGAGGAGCUGGACACCCUGCAGCUGGAGCUGGAGACCCUGCUGUCUUCUGCCAGCCGGCGCCUGCGUGUGCUUGAGGCCGAAACCCAGAUCCUCACCGACUGGCAGGAUAAGAAAGGUGACAGACGAUUCCUGAAGCUGGGUCGAGACCAUGAACUUGGAGCUCCCCCCAAACAUGGGAAGCCCAAGAAGCAGAAACUGGAAGGGAAGGCAGGACAUGGGCCGGGCCCUGGCCCAGGACGGCCCAAAUCCAAAAACCUUCAGCCCAAGAUCCAGGAAUAUGAAUUCACUGAUGACCCUAUCGACGUGCCACGGAUCCCCAAAAAUGAUGCCCCCAACAGGUUCUGGGCU
rnacentral:lncRNA from 10 species